AAUCAACGCUGGCGGCGUGCCUAACACAUGCAAGUCGAACGAGAAAGUGUAGCAAUACAUGAGUACAGUGGCGACCGGGUGAGUAACACGUGACUAACCUACCUUCUUGUGGGGAAUAACCUUCCGAAAGGAGGGCUAAUACCGCAUAACAUCGCGAGGUGAGAUUCCUUGUGAUCAAAGGAGCAAUCCGCAGGAAGAGGGGGUCGCGGCUGAUUAGCUAGUUGGUGAGGUAACGGCUCACCAAGGCAGUGAUCAGUAUCCGGCCUGAGAGGGCGCACGGACACACUGGAACUGAAGCACGGUCCAGACUCCUACGGGAGGCAGCAGUGGGGAAUUUUGCGCAAUGGGGGAAACCCUGACGCAGCAACGCCGCGUGGAGGAUGAAGGUCUUUGGAUUGUAAACUCCUUUCGAUCGGGACGAUGAUGACGGUACCGGAAGAAGAAGCACCGGCUAACUCUGUGCCAGCCGCCGCCGUAAAAC
rnacentral:rRNA from 1 species